CUCGCUCGAAAGGGUCGCCAGCUGACUACGAACGCACACGAAGCGAUGAUCCGCUCCUGCUCUCGUGCGUAGUAUGAAGAGUCGCUUGCUACUGAUGCCCCAGUUGCUUGUAGGUCUCCAGCGCGGGCGUGCGAAGUGAGAACAACAGGUGCGCAAGGAACUGCUUUCUCGGUGUCCUCAAGAUCACUACGCUCCAUCUGCCAUCGCCCCUCGCCUCGCCGCUUCGUUCGUCCCUCGAGAAAAAGCUGGUGUCGCUGUUGCCCAAAAGAUUGACUUACUCGGCUGCGUGUUCCGCCAGUCGGACUCGCAGGACGUCCCAAUCGUCCUGAAAAGCUGAUGGGACUCGCGGGCGCGCCUCGAGCGACCACCAUCUCUUCGCUCUUCGUCGAGCCAAUUCUGCUCCUCCUGUCUACAAUGCAUCGUCCAAGAACCGACAGGCGGCAUCUCUCGAGGCGGAAGCAAGCCCAAGGACUGCAAGGCGGAGUCAGUGGGGGAGGGGAGGGCGCCAAGCGGCGGCGAAGGUGGCGGAGAUGACCAUUUCGCAAAGGUCGCGGUUCUGACUUUGUCAUGGAUGGUAGAACGACAAUUGCCUGCGUCUCUGAGUGGAACCUCGCCGCUUUGUCUGCCUCUUCGAGCGCAAUUCUUGGAGAUGCAACCCGCCAACGCAAAGCACCUCGUGGCAUCCUUUUAUCGUUCCCUUUCUAGCUGCCUCGUCGUUUCCGCCCGUCUACCUCCACUUCCCUUUGCUCCUUUCGCCCUCGUCUCGCCUCGAUGCGUCGCCUUCGCGUUCCGACAUCGCUGACCCGUCCCCCGCUGCUCAUCCGGACCCGUCUCUGGGCCGCUCGUCCAUCACAUCGCCGCCGUCCUUUGCCCUCCGCCUGCAAGUCAUCCAGCCUCGUUGGCUUGAUCCUCGGCCUGCGCCUUCUUGGGUGGAUCACGCCAGAUAAACCCUGAUGGCGCCCGGGCGUGUGCUAGUCGCGGAUGGACGAGGAUGCGCGAGUGGGAUUCGCGGGCUGUCGUUCUCGUGCGGGCAAACGCGGGGCGGGAG
rnacentral:misc_RNA from 1 species